CAGGUUCUGUAGUUUCUAUGGUGGUGUUAAUGGUGGAGGAGAUGUUUGGAAAUUCCUUCAACUUAGCAUGCCUUCACCUCACAGUUUGAGCCAACGUCGUUUAGAUGAAGAAACCAGAUCCCUGGGAAAGUGUUACUGGACCCAAACCCUGGCAAGCUGACUGAAGAGACUCUAAUAGUAACCACAACUAUAAACGCCUGAAUAUGAUCCAUGUUCUACAAGCAAGAAACAGACCAGGAGAAGAAAGUCACUUGCAAAGAGUCAUGCAGCUAAUAAGUUAUAGGGUUAGUAGUACAUUAAGCCACACAAACAUUUGGUAAAUGUUCCUAGCUAAAAUGCUUUAUUUAACAAAGAACAGGAAGUUUGAAUAUCCAUUGGAGAUCAUUCUGAUAAUCCAUUUACUUAAUAAAUAUGCGUGGGGAAAUACUUUGUUGAUGGCACUGGUGUGUCAGCUUUAGGAGAUGCUGUGAUGCAAAUUUCUGCAGUGGUGGUGAAUCACAGGGAAACUUGCUGGACAGCUAAUUACCUAGUAUUCCAGUGACUUUCAUCAUUUCCCCACGUUCUUGAACAUCUCCGGCAUUGUGUUUUUUCUUUCUUGAGCCUUCUUUUCU